GACGAACGCUGGCGGCGUGCUUAACACAUGCAAGUCGAACGGAAAGGCCCUGCUUUUGUGGGGUGCUCGAGUGGCGAACGGGUGAGUAACACGUGAGUAACCUGCCCUUGACUUUGUGAUAACUUCAGGAAACUGGGGCUAAUACCGGAUAGGAGCUCCUGCUGCAUGGUGGGGGUUGGAAAGUUUCGGCGGUGGGGGAUGGACUCGCGGCUUAUCAGCUUGUUGGGGGGGUAGUGGCUUACCAAGGCUUUGACGGGUAGCCGGCCUGAGAGGGUGACCGGCCACAUUGGGACUGAGAUACGGCCCAGACUCCUACGGGAGGCAGCAGUGGGGAAUAUUGCACAAUGGGCGGAAGCCUGAUGCAGCAACGCCGCGUGCGGGAUGACGGCCUUCGGGUUGUAAACCGCUUUCGCCUGUGACGAAGCGUGAGUGACGGUAAUGGGUAAAGAAGCACCGGCUAACUACGUG
rnacentral:rRNA from 1 species